GACGAACGCUGGCGGCGUGCUUAACACAUGCAAGUCGAACGGUGAAGCGCCUUCCUUUUUGGUGGGUGUGGAUGAGUGGCGAACGGGUGAGUAACACGUGAGUAACCUGCCCCCUUCUUCUGGAUAACCGCAUGAAAGUGUGGCUAAUACGGGAUAUUCUGGGUCUGUCGCAUGAUGGGUCUGGGAAAGAUAUUGUUUCGGUGGGGGAUGGGCUCGCGGCCUAUCAGCUUGUUGGUGGGGUGAUGGCCUACCAAGGCGGUGACGGGUAGCCGGCCUGAGAGGGUGGACGGUCACACUGGGAAUGAGACACGGACCAGACUACUACGGGAGGCAGCAGUGGGGAAUAUUGCACAAUGGGAGAAAGCAUGAUGCAGCGACGCCGCGUGAGGGAUGGAGGCCUUCGGGUUGUGAACCUCUUUCGCCAGUGAAGCAGGCCUGCCUCGUUUGUGGGUGGGUUGACGGUAGCUGGAUAAGAAGCGCCGGCUAACUACGUG
rnacentral:rRNA from 1 species